GCAGAAAGUAGCAAGAGCCUUGGGCAUCUGAGCUGAUAGAGACCUUCUCUUUGACCCCCUGAGAACAGGCAAAGUGAAGGCAUCAAGGAGACCUGGAACUGAGCUGCGGAAGCCAAGAGCGAGUGUGCACGGAGGUCUGCAUGUGCCUCGACAGUGUCUCAGAGAAGAGAAUUUGCUGCAUUCCAGUUCUCAGCCAUUAAGAGGCACACAGAAGUGAGGAGAGGUGAACCUGAAGUCACAAUUCAGAGGCAAAUUCCCGGAGAAGAGGGAAUGUGCUUCAACUUCCCUGCUACAGAGUAUCCAAGCACAAUCUGCUCUGCCCCUUUCUAUGAGAUGAUGAAAAUUUUCCUCACUCUUUUAACCAAGUUCUCAAACAUAAACCCCAGAGAGUAUCCCUUUUCAGGUUUAUAAGAGCUGGGCUAUAUAUCUUCAGGAAUUUCUUUCAAAACCUGCACCAAACUGCCUC
rnacentral:lncRNA from 1 species